ACCAGGUGCAGCAGCAUGUGCCUGUUGUCCCAGCUACUCUGGAGGCUGGGGUGGGAGGAUCGCUUUAGCCCAGGAGUUAGGGCUGUAGUGCGCUAUGCCAGUCGGGUGUCCACACUGUGUUGGCAUCAAUAUGGUGACCUCCUGGGAGCAGGGAACCCCCAGGUUGCCUAAGGAAGAGUGAACCUGUCUAGGUCAGAAACGAAGAAGGUCAAAACUCGCAUGCAGAUCAGUAGUGGGAUCGUGCCUGUGAAUAGCCACUGUACUCCAGUCUGAGCAACAGAGUGAGACUCUGUCUCUA
rfam:Nomascus leucogenys chromosome 13, whole genome shotgun sequence.